rnacentral:rRNA from 1 species
UUACCUACGGGAGGCAGCAGUGGGGAAUAUUGCACAAUGGGGGAAACCCUGAUGCAGCGACGCCGCGUGAAGGAAGAAGUAUUUCGGUAUGUAAACUUCUAUCAGCAGGGAAGAAAAUGACGGUACCUGACUAAGAAGCCCCGGCUAACUACGUGCCAGCAGCCGCGGUAAUACGUAGGGGGCAAGCGUUAUCCGGAUUUACUGGGCGUAAAGGGAGCGUAGGCGGUGAUGCAAGUCAGAAGUGAAAGCCCGCAGCUCAACUGCGGGACUGCGUUUGAAACUGUAUGACUAGAU